rfam:Anopheles culicifacies strain species A-37_1 cont1.1920, whole genome shotgun sequence.
AUUUUGGUUUUAUUCAAAACCAUCCAUUUUAUAUUUGAAAAUACU